UACGUAGGGCGCAAGCGUUGUCCGGAAUUAUUGGGCGUAAAGAGCUCGUAGGCGGUUUGUCGCGUCUGCCGUGAAAACCCGAGGCUUAACCUCGGGCCUGCGGUGGAUACGGGCAGACUAGAGGUAGGUAGGGGAGAAUGGAAUUCCCGGUGUAGCGGUGAAAUGCGCAGAUAUCGGGAGGAACACCGGUGGCGAAGGCGGUUCUCUGGGCAUGAUCUGACGCUGAGGAGCGAAAGUGUGGGGAGCGAACAGG
rnacentral:rRNA from 1 species